CUACGGGCGGCUGCAGUGAGGAAUAUUGGUCAAUGGGCGCAAGCCUGAACCAGCCAUGCCGCGUGAAGGAUGAAGGCCUUAUGGGUUGUAAACUUCUUUUAUACGGGAAUAAACUUAGCUAUGUAUAGCUAACUGCAGGUACCGUAAGAAUAAGCACCGGCUAACUCCGGGCCAGCAGCCGCGGUAAUACGGAGGGUGCAAGCGUUAUCCGGAUUUAUUGGGUUUAAAGGGUCCGCAGGCGGACUAAUAAGUCAGUGGUGAAAUCUCUCGGCUCAACCGAGAAACUGCCAUUGAUACUGUUAGUCUAGAGUGUAGUUGGCGUAGGCGGAAUGUAUCAUGUAGCGGUGAAAUGCUUAGAUAUGAUACAGAACACCGAUCGCGAAGGCAGCUUACGAAACUACAACUGACGCUCAGGGACGAAAGCGUGGGAAGCGAACAGGAUUAGAUACCCGAGUAGUC
rnacentral:rRNA from 1 species